rnacentral:lncRNA from 1 species
CUGGGAUUCAGAUUUUUCAAAAUUAGAAUAUGAAGCAGCUAAUUUCAAAGUUCAUUCUGAGAGAAUUUUACCAGUUGGUUACAGAAAGUCCAUUUUGAGCAGUAUGAUAAAGGCAUACUUCUAAAUACAUUUUAGAUAAAUUGAGAGCAUUUUGACCCUUGACUGAUUAUUUUACUUGCAUGGUAGUUCCAUAAUAAAAGAACGCUCUGUGUGGAAGUGCAGAAAAUAGAGAUGAGGAUAUUUUAAGAAUCUUCUAGUCUCUUUUGUGCCCAUCUGUAUUAGUAAGGAGAAACAGAACCAAUAGGGUAGAUACAUAGACAGAUAUAGAAAGAUAUAUGAGGAGACAUAUUAAGGAAAUUGACUUACAUGAUUAUGGAGGCUGAGAAGUCCCAUGGCAGGACACUUGUAAGCUGGAGACCCUGGGAUGAUAGUAGCGUGGCUCAGUCCAAGUUCUAAAGAAUCAGAACCAGGGAAGCUGAUGGUGUAAUUCUCAAUGUGAGUCCGAAGGCCUGAGAACCUGGGUGGGGCUGCUUGUGUAAGUCUCAGAGUCUCAAGGCCAGGGAGAAUGGAAUUCUAAUGUCCAAAGUUCAGGAGAUGAAGAGUGUCCCAGCUCCAGGAGAGAACAAAAGGAAACCCUUUUCUCUCUAUUUUUGUUUUAUCCUAGUCCACAGCUGCUUGAAUGAUGCUCUCCCACAUUGAGGGUGGGUCUUCCCCACAUGAUCCACUGACUCACACACCAGUCUCCUCUGGAAACACCCUCACGACCCACUGAUCAGUGAUACUUUACCAGUUCUCUCUAUAUUCCUUAAUCCAGUCAUGUUAACUAUUAAAAUUAACCCUCACUCGCCCCUCCACCAUGUUUUUAUAAAGGAUUAGAGAGGAAUGUUGGACCACAUACAAAAUGAAGAUUGACUCCUUGGGACUCUAUUGGUUUAUCUCUAUAUUCAGGGAAGGCUGACUUUCUCCAAGCUGAAACUUCUGCAGAGACUUAAUGGAUUUUUGCUGAACCUGGACAAUGUGAACAGGAAAGAUUCAUCUGUGCUCACAGGUGCUGCGUCUACCAACUCCAUGUGAUUCUGGUGAAGUGGUGAAAUGUGUGGCUCCCUUAGUUAGUAAAAACCACGUAGCUCUUACUUCUUCCAGGGAUUGUUCUAAAUUCUUUUAAAAUAUUAAUUUAUUUAACACAACAAGCUUAUGUGGUGAUUUCCAUUGUUUACCUCAUUUAACAGUGUGAUGAACAUGUGACUGAGACUGGCCCAUUGGAUGACUCCACUUUCUCGAAUCAGUGAGUGGUUCAGGGUUGUCAUGUGGAUUCUUACACGGUGAACCCAGUUUAUGGCAAUUAUUGAUCUGAAUCCUGGGAGAGAGAAUUUUACUUUCCUUUUUUGUAAGAUUGCUUGUUAUGAAGAUGAUGUUUUUUAAAGUGGUUCACCUUGGAGUGUUAGUUGCUAGUUUGCUUCAUGAUAACUGCUAAAAAACUUGACGAAGCCAUGUUUGAGCCAGUCUGCCUGGAACUUUCCAAUACACGAGGCACUAAAUUACCUUUUAUACCUAAGCUGAUCUGAUGUGUUAUUGGAAGAGACCUGACAAACAGAUAUCAUAAAGCCACUGGUAUUGUCUGCAGCAAUGUUAAAUAGACUCAAUAUACAUCUAUACACCCAUAUAUGCCCUCAUAUAUGCACUAAAUACACCUUGACUUUAGGAGUUGGAGACUAAAUUGAUUUAAACUAAGAAGAAGUCAAAUAAAAUGCCUUAGAUAAUCUAUAAAUUACAAAUAAAAUAAAUAUAAAAUAUCUAAUAAGCUAACAGUUCGAGCAUUCUGCAAUUAAGGAAACUGCCUAGUUCACUUUGUUCUUUUGUUCUGUUUUGAAUUUCAUUAAUUUGCGUCUCCAUCUUUAUUAUUGUGUUUUUUCUCCUAGAUAUGUGUUUAGCUUGUUCUUAUUUUUCUGGUUUCUUUUGGGAAAAAGUUACAUUAUGGAUUUGAACAUUGUUUCUUUUCUAAUGUGUACAUUUAAUGAUAUAAAAUUCUAUCAAGGUGUUAUCCCUUUCCUACGAAUUUUGAUAUGUUGUCUUUUAAUUUUAAUUUAAGUAAAAUAUUUUUAGAUGUGUCAUUAGACUUCUUU